UAGGGAAUCUUCCACAAUGGACGCAAGUCUGAUGGAGCAACGCCGCGUGAGUGAAGAAGGUUUUCGGAUCGUAAAGCUCUGUUGUUGGUGAAGAAGGAUAGAGGCAGUAACUGGUCUUUAUUUGACGGUAAUCAACCAGAAAGUCACGGCUAACUACGUGCCAGCAGCCGCGGUAAUACGUAGGUGGCAAGCGUUGUCCGGAUUUAUUGGGCGUAAAGCGAGCGCAGGCGGAAUGAUAAGUCUGAUGUGAAAGCCCACGGCUCAACCGUGGAACUGCAUCGGAAACUGUCAUUCUUGAGUGCAGAAGAGGAGAGUGGAACUCCAUGUGUAGCGGUGGAAUGCGUAGAUAUAUGGAAGAACACCAGUGGCGAAGGCGGCUCUCCGGUCUGCAACUGACGCUGAGGCUCGAAAGCAUGGGUAGCGAACAGGAUUAGAUACCCUGGUAGUCCAUGCCGUAAACGAUGAGCGCUAGGUGUUGGGGACUUUCCGGUUCUCAGUGCCGCAGCGAACGCAUUAAGCGCUCCGCCUGGGGAGUACGACCGCAAGGUUGAA
rnacentral:rRNA from 1 species